GUUUCUCAUUGUUUCUCUUUAUUGCGUCAGAUUGAAGUAAUAAACAUUCGUUGGUUAUUUAACGUCGCGACGAAAGCGCACACCGGCCUAGGCGCAAGCCUAGCGACGUGCGCCAACACCCCGACGGGUUGAGUUCACAAGGUGGUGAGUUGACCUCCCGCCCAAACGCGAAUACACGCGCGAGGUUGGGAUAAGCCAAUGCAUUCAUUAAUGAUCCAACCGCAGGUUCACCUACGGUUA
rnacentral:misc_RNA from 1 species